GUCUGUACCAAACAUUGUCAGUGUUCCAGCCAUGCUGGUAAAUGUUUAACAAUGAGCUCUCAAAAAGAAAACCCCGAAUUAUGGCACUUGCCAAUUUCCAUGGUGUAAAUACUCCCACAUGGCUGACAUCAAACUAAAUUAAUGGUUGUCUCCACACAUGUAGCUGGGAAGCAAUGCUCACACCCCAGAGGGAGCUGGCCCCGAACACCCCCCUGUGCCCUCUUGCCUGACCCGGUUUGGACACCAGCUGCCUGGCGGCCAGUGCUGGGGCGUUUUGUCCGGUGCUGCCCUCAGAAGGCACUCUGCCUGAGAGUACGCAAAGCCAGCAGUGCCUGGGAGUUUACAGCCCCCAGGGGGAUCUUGUGGGUACAAAUACUGCAACUGUUGGCUCUGAUUGGCUGGCUCUGGGAUGUGACUUCCUCCCUAGAGGCUGAGCCAAAGGCAUCUUCAGCUGACUUUGCUUGAAGCCUCACCUUGGCUUGGCUUCCUGCCUUUUUUCCUCUCAGUUCCUCUUCCACCUGUCUUUGCAGAUAACUUUCCUGGUAACUUCCUUUCACACGCAACCUUGUCUCAGGGUCUACUUCUAGGGAACCCACGUAAGGCUGCAUCUCUAGAUAUCUUUUUCCCUUAAAUGCCCUGGGGUUUGGGAGAGUUUCCCACUCAAUAAUACUCAGUAAGCUUUCCCAUUAACCCCGCUAUAAGCUUUUCUUGGUUUCCUCUGUGUCUGUGCCCCAAGGUGUGUCUGUCGUGGGGGGAUGAGUCAUGGAGCAAAGUCCUCCCCACUGACUCAGCAAUGCCAUUUCCUGCCCACAACCUUCUAGAACUCUUGCACUUUGACACAAUGGGGACCAGCCCACCCCUGAUUCACCAGCUCAGUUUUCUGUCACAUCCUGUACUUUCCCUGAGGAUUUUUCUGUUCUCCUUCUGACCAGAGUCAACGCCAACCAACCCACAAGCAGCAGAGAACAGAAACGUGGCCAGAUGGUCUCCAAUACGGAUCAAAAACAUAAAGAGGCAAACGUGGAGGGGCGGAAGGUCCUUGGCCCUUUUCUCUUGAAAUUGAGUUCGCUGUGUUGAAAUGUCCAUCGUGUCUGCAUCCCCUUCCUGGUUUUCCCCAAAGAGGCCGUGGCGGGGGAACAGGUGGCGUUCCAUGUGGUGGCAACAUGAAGGGAUCACUCGCCAGCGAGCAUAAUCGCUCUGGAAACAUUCGGAAUACUCAUAUGUUCUGUACUUUUCCCCUGAGUCAAUAAGGUAGAAAUGCAUCAGGAGAAAGUCAAAGGUUUCUGUCAAAAUCCAGACCACAGGGAGAAAAUGACGAGUUGAUGGGGCUCACCCUGUGAUCAAUUUCUCCGUGAACCUGACAGGGAAGUCUUCUUAGAGGGCACCUCAGCGUCUGAAGUUGGCUUUCACAAUGAGCAGAAGGUGAAAAGCUGCCAAACAACAGCCACUUUCAAAAUCCAGUGAAAACAGAACUAAGCCAACAAAGGAAUAACAAGGUCCCAGGUUGCAAAACAAAACAAGUUGGGAAAACUUGUCCAAGAGCUGUACUGAACUCUUGCAUGGGCGCUGACGUACACAAAUCAUCCUCAUCACCUCUGAAACGAGGCAGCUCUAAAUUACUUCUUGAAUUCCAUAUGGUUAAUCUGCAGGCACAGGAACAUGCUUUAGGGUGAAAUUUAGUUGUUGUUGUUUUCACUGGGCUUGCAAUAACAUAUUGUAAAUGACUAAGGCUAGAUGACACUUUCACACCAGUCUUGAAAUCAUCCCAGUGAUCUUGACCCAAUGCCAGAUGAGGAUCUUGGUGCAGAUAAAGCGACUGUGCUUCUUCUUCCUGCAGAAUUAACAUUAACAAUCCUGCACAUUAACAAUCUAGAACUAUGUUAGCCAGGGUAUUUGAGGCAGAAUUCUGAACUGAAAUUGGUCGUCUCCUAGCACAAUGAUUUUUAAAUACAAAACAAGCAAACACACAAAAAGAAAAAAAGAAACAACAAGAAAUUUUAAAAUGUCGUAUCUAUCUUAUGAAAGCCAAAAUGAAAGAUUGGCAACCUUUCCUGAAUAUGGGCAUUGUCCACAUCUAAUCUAGAUGAUGUGGGUCCAGUUUUCUCUUUCUUCAAUCAUCUGAUGUUUUUACAUUCAAAUUGGUAGGAAAAGGAUGCUUUCCAGUUUAAUUUUCUUUAAAAUAAUUUCGCAGAUUUCUGAAUCCAUAUGCAAUUUUUAAGAGCACAGACUUUGGACUCAAAAAUGAGUUUAAAUUCUCAGUCUGCCACUUACAAGAUGAGUAAGGUGAAAAACCCCUUCACCUCUGUAAGCCUCAGGUGAGUAUCUUAUAAGGUUGCUGGAGAGGUUACGAGACACAAGGCAUAGAAAAGGGCUUCCUGUGUUAUAGUCUGCCCAUAGAGCAAGCACGUCUUUCUUUCUUUCUUUUCUUUCUUUCUUUUCUUCCUUCUUUCUUUUUUUUUUUUUUCAUUGAGAUAGGGCCUCACUCUGUCACCCAGGCUGCAGUGGAAUGGUGCCAUCUCGGCUCACUGCAACCUCCACCUCCUGGGUUCAAGCCAUUCUCAUGCCUGCCUUCUGAGUAGCUAGGAUUACAGGCACCUGCCACCAUGCCUGGCUAAGGUUUGUAUUUUUAGCAGAGAUGGGGUUUCAACAUGUUGACCAGGCUGGCCUUGAACUCCUGACCUCAGGUGAUCUGCCCACCUCAGCCUCCCAAACUGCUGGGGUGACAGGUGUGAGCCAACGUGCCUGGCCCAAUUAUGAUUAUUUCUGUUUUCUUAGUUUGUCCCUUACUUGAAACAGAUUAGUUAUUUACAACAUGGAGUUUGUGUCUCUGUAACUUUGUAAUCAUGCAAAAUAAUUGUACAUGAUCCACAUAUACACACACACACCACACACACACACAUAUCCUUAGAAGAAUAAUUUUCUCCAAAUUGAACUGUAAGGGUCUGUGUGAUUUGGGCAGAGAUAGUCGCUGCUGCUUUCCCAGCUAAUAAAGUUGUCCGAAUCUGUUUACUCUCAAAUUUAUAGAAAGAGCUUCAUUAGCAGCCUCCACGGAUGACACAGCCACCACAUGGCACGCAGAGUUAGUCUGAGGAUAAAUCUUGGUUUGCCCAGUUUUGCAGAGUGAUUCGUUUUUAAUGAAUUAUGCACACAGAUCAUAGGCUCUGCUCAAAGCCUCAUUUACUCUGGAAAUUCCUGAAAUUACUAUUCAUUUUGCUGAGUUCUUUUUUUACCCUCUUGAAAGCUCACAAAAACCCUCUGAAAAAGAAAAGCAUCAGCAUACAUAUUGUUGUAGAUUAGAAAACACAAAUGAUUUGAUAGAAAGCAGGUUUGGGGUGAAAUAAUCAUAAUAGUGAAUCAGCUCUCUGACUUUUUUUGAUGCUAUGGAAACCCUGGCAGUGAAGAAACUUUGAUUAAAUAGAUUCACAAUAGAUUCAAGCGUACUCAAGGGCUGGGGUCUUAACAUCUCUGGAGUGGCUCACAGUGCUGAGCACAUGGCAGACGCCCAAUCAAUUCGUGCAAACAAAUGAACAGAAUCAGAUUUCCAAGGAGUUCUUCAGGAAGUCAAGUAAUGCAUUGACCCUUUCCUUCAGCAUUACAUCCACGGAGCCUGCCUGUCUAAAUGAUUCAGAUCCGCUCUGCAACUCUAUGCAGGAGAAACACAUUUUCCUUUUCUGGUGGAUCAGACAACAGCAGGACUUCUGGAUUAUGUCUUCUGCAUAGGUUGCAGCAGGGAAACAUAGCAUUACGCGUGUAGACAGGGCAGGUUUAAUGCUAGGCAACGUUCUUAAGGGAGAUCAGAAAAGCAACUAGCAUGCCAGGUCUACUGUCCCGGCCCCCAAGGCUCAGCACAGAUAUUUGGAAAACCAGGAGUUGAGCAUUUGACUGGAAAAUAAAAACAACAUAGACUCGUGCAUUUGAUCAGUGAACUUGGAGCGCACACCAUGGAUUAGGCACAGCUGGGCACCGAGGAGACAUCACCUGGCUUAUAAGUCAUCUGUGCCCUCUGGGGACUGACAGUCCAGCUGGGAAUGAGGAUCAGGAGGUCAGAAAUUAAGUAAAGAGCAAAGAAGAAUGCAACAUGAGUAAACGCAAAAAUAAAAAAUAAAAACAAACAAAACAAGUUGGCCCUGACCAUCAGGCAGUAUGGUAUGGAGAAGACCACGGGCUUGUGUCUAUCAGUCAGACCUGCUUUGAGUCUUGGCUCCACCAUAAACCAGAUGAGUUAAGUUUCAUACCCUCUCUAAACGGUCGCCUCAGCUAUACAACAGGCUCAAUGAUAUUCACCCCACAAGAUUGCUAUAAGAAGGAAAUGGUAUGACCUUGGGGCAAGAAGAGGUACCAUUGUCCCCACUGUCCACAGAUGGUGACAUUUGUUCAGGACAACCUGGCCAUUAAGGAGGAGAACUCUAUGAGAACAAGGUCUGCGUCCCUAGAUGGCAUUCAUACAGAUGACCAGCGCAUGAUGUGACAAAACCAUCCUCUGGUAAAAGAUCCAUUUAGAGUGCAGAUGGGCCAGCGAAUUCUAAUGAAAGAGAAGAUGAAGUGUUCAUUGAUGUGGUUUCAGAUUUCCACAUUGCCGCUCACCUUUAAGAAACUGCCACUUGUUGAGUUUUGGUCUAGUAUCAAGAAGAACAGCCACAAUUAUCUGGAAAAGUCUAUCACAAUACUCAUCCCUUUGCCAAUUACAUAUCUGCAUGAGCUUGAUUUUCUUCAUGUACAUCAAUCAAAAUCUAUUGCAACAGACUGAAGUCAGAGGUGAAAAGCCUCCCUCUUCCCAAUGCUACCUGCCAGCUACGCUUCUCGGCAGAUGUUUCUGGACUUCAGUGGCCUCAUUUGCAAGCUGAGAGGGCUGAACAGAUGAACCCUACACUCUUCUGUCUGAAGUUUCUGUGCUCCCAAAUGUCUUCAUUUUAAAGAGGAGGUGGGGAAGAGAUGGAAACUUCUAAACUAAGUGCCUCGCCCAGACAGCUCUCCUCAAAGAAGGGGAGCAACCCCAACCCCUCCCCAGCAGUGAGGGUCCUGAACCCACCCUUGGCCCAUCACCCACCCCCAGCCCACAGCAAGGGUCCAUCCCUGCCUCCCUUAAGAUGGGGAAAUGGGUCUCUUGGGCUGCCAGUAUGUGAGCCUGCUCUCCCCAGAAGGCAUAAUCCCUAGUAGGUGAGAUUGUUGAGAAUAACGCUGGGGGGUCCUCUAGCCCGGAAACCCUGCAAGCUGACAUGGGGCCUUCUCAAUCCCCGUUCCCACCACACAGAGCUGCAUUCCUGGAAAAUGACACGGCGCCAAGAGGUUUUUAAUAGAAAUGACCCUGCUGAUCAUCCCAGCCACCCUGUGAGUACACACAGAGUAUCAGGAAAACCUUGUUUUUCAAAUGAAGACACUGAGGCUGGAAGCCACGCAGUGACUUGUCUGGGCUCUGGCCCAGCAGAGCCUCACAUGCAAAUCUCAGGAUCCUAAACACCAUUUUCAUUGCUUUCUUUCCCCAAAAUGUUUGUGGUCUCUUUUGUGUCAGGUAAAGCACUAGUCACUUUCUACAAAGCCUUGCACGUUUUAUGUUGGAUUAUUCUGCUAUUUUGGCAAAUAAUGUGAAAGUGUUUAAGCACUUUUAUGUCAAACCUAAUUUCCUUUCAACAUCAUGUGAUAAUACCAGAAGUUGGCAGGGGAAAUUUUGUUGUUUUUCUCUUAUUUUUAAGUUAAAUAUUAAUGAUAAAAAAGAACCAUCAAUAAGAGCCCCUUGCAGUCCCUGAGCUCUUCACAUCCUGGUGACUAUUUUUACUGGGAAGAUGCUUUUAUUUCUGACUCUGCAUGGUAACUGGGAUGACAUCAAUUAUUUGUUUGUUACCUCCCAAAUUAUCAAGGAGCCGAUGAUCUAAUGAUGAUGAUCAAUGACACAGGUGAUAGAUGAUGUCACAAUCUGAACACCUGCCGGGUGCCACCCAGCACCUUUCCUGCAUCGCCUCCCAUAUCCUCUGAGGACCCAAGAUCCACUUUAGUAUUUGCCACAUAGUAAAUGCUCAGAAAAUACCAGCGCAGUCACUCUUCUCUGGAGUCCAAUCUUCCCUGAACAGGUGCUCCUGCGCCCAUUUUAUAGGUGAGCAAACCGAGGAUAGAAAGUUUACAUCACUCCCUCAGGAUCCUGCAGCCAGUAUUUAAAUGCGAGGACAUGUUCUUUCUUCUACCUAUUGCUUGUGAAGCUAGGAAGGAGAUGGGGGUGAGGAAGGAGCAGAGCCCGAGGAAGGUGAAAAUACCAGAAGAAAAAUGGAAGGUGGAGGCCGGGCACAGUGGCUCACACCUGUAAUCCCAGCACUUUGGGGGGCUGAGUCGGGUGGAUCGCCUAAGAUCAGGAGUUCAAGACCAGCCUGGCUAACUGGGUGAAACCUUGUCUCUACCAAAAAUACAAAAAUUAGCCAAGUAUGGUAGUGCACACCUGUAAUUCCAGCUACUGGGGAAGCUGAGGCAGAAGAAUUGCUUGAACCUGGUAUGUGGAGACUGCAGUGAGCCAAGAUUGUGCCAUUGCACCCCAGCACUCCAGCCUGGGCAGCAGAGCAAGACCUCAUCUCAAAAAAAAAAAAAAAAAAGAAAGAAAGAAGAAUGGAAAGUGGAGAACAGGUGGUCUUAACAAGUUGUCCAGAGGAGGAGGAAAUGGAUAGCCCCAGGGCCCUCGUCCUUGGCACAUAUGCACAUGAACAGACCAAACCUGCCAGGUGGGCUUGAGGUUGGAAGGAGCCACAGGGCUGUGUCUACACUGUCCAGUAUGGAAGCACCCAACCACCUGCCACCACGGAACACGUGAAAAGUGUCGAGGUGACUGUGGAACUAAAUUUUUCAUUUUGCAUAAUUUUAAUUUAAAUUUUAAAUGAUAUAAUUUUUACAUUAUUUUCAUUCAUUUACAUUCUAAUAUCCACAGGUGGCUGCCACAUUGCACCACACAGCUGGAGAAGGCUGAGAAGAGGGGGAUGGAGAGACCCUCCCCUCCAAGGGAGAGGUGCAAGGGGGGCCUCUCUGCCCUCCAGGGCUCAGUAUCAAUGGUGGGAGACUGCCUUCAUCCCCCAGAACACACUCCUGGGACAGCUGCAAAUAGGGAACCCCCAAAGCCCAGCAGCUGUGGGAGGUGAAGGGGCAGCUCGGUUACAGACCAGGCUGCAAAGCAUCUGUCUAAAAGGUCAGUGUCCACAAGAAGCACAUCAUCUGACCACCCAGCAGUUUCCCGGCACCAGCUCCAUGUCCAGCCCUGUGUUAGGUCCAGCUGAAUCAGCAACUUACUGGGGAAGUCAUGUCUCUAAGAAAGGAGCCCUCAGGCCUGCAGAGGCUCUGUUAGCCCCACUGCAGACAGCAGAACCCAGAAAACACUGGUGAGAGCAGCGGCCCCGGGAGAGGAUCCUGGAGGACAAUCAUCCUCACACCCUCGUAGAAGGCAGGCAGGUGUACCAGUCAGGGUCCGGGCAGAAAAGAGGACCAGGUGCAGAUCAUUCAUAGGAAGAGACGGCGAGGAAGAGGCCUUAACAAAGGGGAGGGCAGAUUCCAGAACAAACAUGAAACAUGGGGGAAGAGCGAGAAGCUGACUAGGGUCAAAGGGUCAGAGGAGGAGACAAGGCUGCAGAGGGAGCGGUCAGGGCUGUGGUCCCAGAGAAGCAGGGAUCAGGCAGUCAGGAGGUGGCCAGACCAACUGAGGAGCAGGAAACAGAUAAGGAAACCAAAGCUCAGAGAGGUUAAGUAACUGGCCCCACAUCACUCAGCUAGAAGGAAGUAAUAGAGCUGGAAUUUGAACCCAGGCUACAAGUUGGGGGUGUCCGCAUUGAUUUUUGAGUAGGUUUGAGUAGUAGCCUCUCUCUUUCCACCCAGGGGUCUCCUGCGGGGCUUCCCAUUGGCUGACGGGAAGAAGCGUGAGGCAGAGUAACCCUGGCAAUGAACUUGAGGGAUCCACUGAGGGCUUUCUACAAUUCCCACAAGAUGCUGUUGCCCUUCCCCAUCCAAGAGGAUGCCAGAGCCCAUGUGAUGACCUUGUUAUCGUUAAGAGGCUUGAAAAAGCAAAACAAGAUCGUCCUGUCUCUGGAUGCACCUUUGAUGCCUCCAUUCUAUCAGGCAAGCAAGGCCCUGGAAACAUCCUUUCUCUCCAGCAGAGGAGCCUGAUAGGUUGACAGGGAACCCUGGUCUCUGGACUCCCAGGCUUAAUCUGGGCCAACAGAGGAAGGGGUUUCCUGAGAAGUGAGACCCUCCAGAGCCCCUGUGGAAGGCUCCCAGCUUUGGGGGCAUUUUUGGUUUCUUAAUCUGCAUUUAGCUCCACCUCAGAGUGGGGCAUGGGGAACCUGAUUGGGAUUUAGAAGGUGACGAGGCAUUCUUACACUAAUUGUGCCCCUCGGGAUGCAUGGAAUACUAGGAGACACCAUGGCUUUUCACAUUCAGGUGCUCGUGUGAACAUCACCAACUGCCUCUAAACACAGGUAGCAGCAACAUGCAAUCUUUUGAUGGGAAGCAGUUAUUUCUUGAUCACUCGAGGGUUUUGAAGGCAGCCAGGCAGCUCAGGGGAAAAGCAGGUUCUACGAGAAGAGAGACAUGAUAUGCUCAGACAUUUCUGCAUCCUUGUCCUACACACAGUGUGAUCCACAGUGGUAAAGGUGAAGAAACUGAGAUUCACGAGUGUUUCAGAAAACUGCCUAAGAUGUUAGAACUAACAAGUCCUGAAGUUCAAACCCAAGUAUGACUGUCAACAUGAGGUUCUUUCUACAAACAGCAAUUCUGGAAGCUUCCAUUUACAGAGUGUUGCCCACAGAAGGGGCCUGGAAUACUGGUUGUUCAUGGAAUCUUCACUACUGCCCCAUGAAGUAGAGACAACGAUUAAGCCCAUUUUACCAAUGAGGAAAAUGGAAGCACAGAGAGACCUAAUAACCUUCCUAAGAUCACACAGUGAGACAGGACCCACAGUUGUUCUCUUUCCUCACCUCAUCACACUGCAGCCAUGACCAACCAAGAGGGCACAAUCGUCACUUAAGGCAUGAAGAAGCUCUGGUCAUAGGCUUGACUUGCAGGUGAGCCACCGAUCGGGGUUGCUCAAUGUGUCCUGAGCCCAAUUCAAGUCAGAUUGUGAAACCUUUGCUUCAACAGUCCCAGUGAUGGGAAGCUCAAUGGGAAGCGAGUCUCUCAGUCAGCUGCCAAUGAGUCUUUCCUUCCCUGAAUGCACAUAGUGGGUAUCAUAUUAAGAUGUGAGGGUUACAUUCUCUCCCCUUGAAUCUGGGCUGGCCCUGUGAUAUGAUGAGCAGAAUGUAGUAGAGGUGACACUCCAGAACUUCCAAGCCCAAAUCCAAGAUUAGCAGUUUCUCCUUCCUUCCCCUUGGGACACAAUCACAAGAGAAGCCUGGGCCCCAAGGAGAAGCCACAUGGAGGAGAACCAAGGUGUUCCAGUUGACAACUCUAAAAGACCUCCUGCCAACAGCCAGCACCAGCUGCCAGCAGGGGGAAUGAGCUGCUUUAGAUUGCCAGCCAGCAUGGAGACCCCAGGUGACUGCAGCCAGCGACAUCAUGAAGAGCAGCAGAACCAACCAGCUGAGCCCUGUCACCCCACAGAAUCACAAGAAUAACAAAACAGUCGGUGGCUUAAGUCAUUGAUCUCCUAGACAUUUUACUGUGCUGCUACCAAUAACUACCUUGUGAGGCAGCCUGUGUACCUGGAGACUGUUCCACCUUUAGGUGUUUUUUCCAUAAAGCUAAAUCCUCAUUCUUUCAUUUGUCUCCCUGGUUGGAGAUCUCCCUCAGGAACCACAUAGAACACAUGACAGAGAAUUAGAAAUGAAGGGGUAUGAGUUAUUAAAGACCAGCUUGUCCAUAUUGCUAACUAUACAGAUUAGUGAUUGAAGGCCAAACAGAUUCUGUGGCAUUCUCUGACCUCCCAUCCAGGUUGGGUACCCCACUCUGAGCUCCCACAAUCCCCUCUGCUUUUCCCACGAAAGCACUUACCACACCACACUACCUCCUAAUAACGUGGUAACAUCUCUUUCCAGGCAAGAGGCCAUAGGC
rnacentral:lncRNA from 1 species